AAAACUUUCAACAACGGAUCUCUUGGUUCUGGCAUCGAUGAAGAACGCAGCGAAAUGCGAUAAGUAAUGUGAAUUGCAGAAUUCAGUGAAUCAUCGAAUCUUUGAACGCACAUUGCGCCCAUUAGUAUUCUAGUGGGCAUGCCUGUUCGAGCGUCAUUUAAAGACUCAAGCUCUGCUUGGUGUUGGGGAUCAGCCCUCUUGCGGCUGGCCCUGAAAACUAGUGGCGGUCUCGCUGUAGCUUCCUCUGCGUAGUAGCACAAACUCGCUCUGGAAAGCAGCGCGGCUCAGCCGUUAAACCCCCCAAUUAUCUAAGGUUGACCUCGGAUCAGGUAGGAAUACCCGCUGAACUUAAGCAUAUCAAUAAGCGGAGGAAAAGAAACCAACAGGGAUUGCCCUAGUAACGGCGAGUGAAGCGGCAACAGCUCAAAUUUGAAAUCUGGCCUUCUGGUCCGAAUUGUAAUUUGUAGAGGAUGCUUUUGGCAAGGUGCCUUCCGAGUUCCCUGGAACGGGACGCCAUAGAGGGUGAGAGCCCCGUCUGGUUGGAUACCGAGCCUCUGUAAAGCUCCUUCGACGAGUCGAGUAGUUUGGGAAUGCUGCUCUAAAUGGGAGGUAUAUGUCUUCUAAAGCUAAAUACCGGCCAGAGACCGAUAGCGCACAAGUAGAGUGAUCGAAAGAUGAAAAGCACUUUGAAAAGAGGGUUAAACAGUACGUGAAAUUGUUGAAAGGGAAGCGUUUAUGACCAGACUUGGACUCGGUUGAUCAUCCAGUGUUCUCACUGGUGCACUCUGCCGGUUCAGGCCAGCAUCAGUUCGUGGCGGGGGAUAAAAGUGGCGGGAAUGUGGCCCUCUCGGGGGUGUUAUAGCCCACUACAUAAUACCCUGCUGUGGACUGAGGUUCGCGCUCUGCAAGGAUGCUGGCGUAAUGGUCAUCAACGACCCGUCUUGAAACACGGACCAAGGAGUCGUCUUCGUAUGCGAGUGUUCGGGUGUCAAACCCCUACGCGUAAUGAAAGUGAACGCAGGUGAGAGCUUCGGCGCAUCAUCGACCGAUCCUGAUGUUCUCGGAUGGAUUUGAGUAAGAGCAUACGGGGCCGGACCCGAAAGAAGGUGAACUAUGCCUGUAUAGGGUGAAGCCAGAGGAAACUCUGGUGGAGGCUCGCAGCGGUUCUGACGUGCAAAUCGAUCGUCAAAUAUGGGCAUGGG
rnacentral:rRNA from 1 species